rnacentral:rRNA from 1 species
AGUGAACGCUGGCGGUAGGCCUAACACAUGCAAGUCGAACGGCAGCACAGGAGAGCUUGCUCUCUGGGUGGCGAGUGGCGGACGGGUGAGGAAUACAUCGGAAUCUACUCUGUCGUGGGGGAUAACGUAGGGAAACUUACGCUAAUACCGCAUACGACCUACGGGUGAAAGCAGGGGAUCUUCGGACCUUGCGCGAUUGAAUGAGCCGAUGUCGGAUUAGCUAGUUGGCGGGGUAAAGGCCCACCAAGGCGACGAUCCGUAGCUGGUCUGAGAGGAUGAUCGGCCAAACUGGAACUGGGACACGGUCCAGCCUCCUACGGGAGGCAGCAGUGGGGAAUAUUGGAAAAUGGGCGCAAGCCCGAUCCAGCCAUACCGCGUGGGUGAAGAAGGCCUUCGGGUUGUAAAGCCCUUUUGUUGGGAAAGAAAUCCAGCUGGCUAAUACCCGGUUGGGAUGACGGUACCCAAAGAAUAAGCACCGGCUAACUUCGUGCCAGCCGCCGCAGUAA